rnacentral:rRNA from 1 species
GACGAACGCUGGCGGCGUGCCUAAUACAUGCAAGUAGAACGCAGUUGCGAACGGGUGAGUAACGCGCAGGUAACUGCCUCAUAGCGGUGGAUCACUAUUUGAAACGAUAGCUAAUACCGCCUACUGUGCGAUGGACCUGCGUUUUAUUAGCUAGUUGGUGCGGUAGAGGCGCACCAAGACGACGAUACAUAGCCGACCUGAGAGGGGGAUCGGCCAAACUUGGACUGAGACGCGGCCCCGACUCCUACGGGAGGCGGAAGUAGGGAAUCUUCGGCAAUGGGAGGAAGUCUGACCAAGCAACGACGCGGGAGUGAAGAAGGUUUUCGGAUCGUAAAGCUCUGUUGUGAGAGAAGCGGUAACUAACCAGAAAGGGACGGCUAACUGCGUGCCAGCCGCCGCGGUAAUAC